CUGAUUGCUCAGGUUUCCAGCCUUAGGCGGAGAUACUGACAGUCAUCCGCUUGCAAACAUAUGUUCGAUCUUCACCGGUUGGCUAUGUGAGUAAGCACUUUACCUUGAGAAAAACAGAGUGUUCCAGGCAGGUUUGUCCGGGAUGCAUUAGCAUGGAAUAAUAGAACAUGACUGAAGUCGAUUUAUUGGUUUAAGGCUUUAGUAAUGAUUAAUAGGAACAGUCGGGGGCAUUCGUACUCAGCAGUCAGAGGUGAAAUUCUAAGAUUUGCUGAAGACGAACUAAUGCGAAAGCAUUUGCCAAGGAUGUUUUCAUUAAUCAAGAACGAAAGUUAGGGGAUCAAAGACGAUCAGAUACCGUCCUAGUCUUAACUAUAAACUAUGCGACUCGGAUUCAGAUGAAUCAAAAUAGUUACAUUUGGGACCGUAGGAGAAAUCAAAGUCUUAGGGUUCUGGGGG
rnacentral:rRNA from 1 species